AAUGGUAUGCCUGAUUAAAAGGGUUAUUAUGAUGUAAUAAAUUAUGUAAUUUAAAAAUUAUUGCCAUUA
rnacentral:tRNA from 1 species